rnacentral:sRNA from 1 species
CUGUCCUCUCCCUCUCCCCGGAGCUCUAAUGGGUAGAGAGCGAGGCUUGCUUCCCUACACCCGCAUUGCAGGGGAGCCUUAGAUGGGGCAGUACAGGCCCCUUUCCACCCAUCUUCGGCCUCUCCAGUCCCCACCCAAGCAGCCCCAAUCAUGCACGCGGCCCCCCAGGUGGAGGCACUGACGCGGCAGCCGCGAGCCACGACGGUGCACGCGGUGCGCGACACGGAGCUGGCCAAGCUUCCCGAGGGCACCUUGGGUCACAUCAAACGCCGGUACCCGCAGGUCGUGACCCGCCUUAUCCACCUACUGAGCCAGAAAAUUCUAGGGAAUUUGCAGCAGCUGCAAGGACCCUUCCCAGGCUCCGGGCUGGGUGUGCCCCCACACUCGGAACUCACCAACCCAGCCAGCAACCUGGCAACUGUGGCAGUCCUGCCUGUGUGUGCUGAGGUCCCCAUGGUGGCCUUCACGCUGGAGCUGCAGCACGCCCUGCAGGCCAUCGGUCCGACGCUACUCCUUAACAGUGACAUCAUCCGG